rnacentral:rRNA from 1 species
AGGGAAUAUUGGGCAAUGGGCGAAAGCCUGACCCAGCCAUGCCGCGUGAAUGAUGAAGGCCUUAGGGUUGUAAAGUUCUUUCGCAGGUGAAGAUAAUGACGGUAACCUGAUAAGAAGCCCCGGCUAACUUCGUGCCAGCAGCCGCGGUAAUACGAAGGGGGCUAGCGUUGUUCGGAAUUACUGGGCGUAAAGCGCAUGUAGGCGGUUCUACAAGCCAGAGGUGAAAUCCCGGAGCUCAACUUCGGAAUUGCCUUUGGAACUGUAGAACUGGAGUAUCGGAGGGGAUGGUGGAAUUCCAAGUGUAGAGGUGAAAUUCGUAGAUAUUUGGAGGAACACCGGUGGCGAAGGCGGCCAUCUGGACGAUUACUGACGCUGAGAUGCGAAAGCGUGGGGAGCAAAC